rnacentral:rRNA from 1 species
AUUGAACGCUGGCGGCAUGCCUUACACAUGCAAGUCGAACGGCAGCACGGGAGCAAUCCUGGUGGCGAGUGGCGAACGGGUGAGUAAUAUAUCGGAACGUGCCCAGCCGUGGGGGAUAACGCAGCGAAAGCUGUGCUAAUACCGCAUACGAUCUACGGAUGAAAGCGGGGGAUCGCAAGACCUCGCGCGAUUGGAGCGGCCGAUAUCAGAUUAGCUAGUUGGUGGGGUAAAGGCCCACCCAGGCGACGAUCUGUAGCUGGUCUGCGAGGACGACCAGCCACACGUGGACAGAGACACGGUCCAGACUGCUGCGGGAGGCAGCAGUGGGGAAUUUUGGACAAUGGGCGCAGGCCUGAUCCAGCAAUGCCGCGUGCAGGAUGAAGGCCUUCGGGUUGUAAACUGCUUUUGUACGGAACGAAACGGCUCCUUCUAAUACAAGGGGCUAAUGACGGUACCGUAAGAAUAAGCACCGACUAACUACGUGCCAGCAGCCGCGGUAA